AUUUAUAUAGUUUAAAUAAUUAAAACAUUAUAUUUUCAUUAUAAAAUUAAUAAAUUUUAUUUAUAAAUU
rnacentral:tRNA from 1 species